rnacentral:rRNA from 1 species
AUACCCUAGUAAUUUUAGCCGUAAACGAUGGAAACUCACUGCCGAGCCGGUAUUCGGAGCGGUGGUCAAGCUAACGCGUGAAGUUUCCCGCCUGGGGACUACGCAUGCAAAUGUGAAACUCAAAGGAAUUGACGGGGACCCGCACAAGCGGUGGAGUAUGUGGUUUAAUUCGAUGCAACGCGAAAAACCUUACCAAGGUUUGAAAUCAUUUCAAAACUCUUUGAAAGAAGAGCCUCCUUCGGGAUGGAAUGACAGGUGGUGCAUGGCUGUCGUCAGCUCGUGUUGUGAAAUGUCAAGUUAAGUCUUGUAACGAGCGCAACCCAUGUCUUUUGUUGCUGUUUACAGUGCUUAAAAGAGACUGCCGCUCUACAGCGGAGGAAGGUGUGGAUGAUGUCAAGUCAGCAUGCCCCUUAUAUCUUGGGCUACACACGUACUACAAUGGUAGGGACAAUGAGUCGCAAACCUGCGAAGGCUAGCCAAUCUCAAAAACCCUAUCUCAGUUCGGAUUGUACUCUGCAACUCGAGUGCAUGAAGGUGGAAUCGCUAGUAAUCGCUGGUCAGCAUACAGCGGUGAAUACGUUCCCGGGUCUUGUACACACUGCCCGUCACACCAUGGAAGUCGAUCCUUCCCUAAGUCGUUACUCGAACCUUUUAGGACGAGGAUGCCGAAGGCAGGGUUGGUGACUAGGGUGAAGUCGUAACAAGGUAGCCGUACUGGAAGGUGUGGCUG